rnacentral:rRNA from 1 species
GACGAACGCUGGCGGCGUGCUUAACACAUGCAAGUCGAACGAUGAAGAAGAGAAACGCGAACUUCGGUUCAAAUUUCACUUCGGAUUAGUGGCAGACGGGUGAGUAACGCGUGAGCAACCUACCUCUUACAAAGGGAUAGCCUCGGGAAACCGUGAUUAAUACCAUAUGACACAUUCAUAAGGCAUCUUAAGAAUGUUAAAGCUACGGCGGUAAGAGAUGGGCUCGCGUCCCAUUAGCUAGUUGGUGAGGUAACGGCCCACCAAGGCGACGAUGGGUAACCGGGCUGGGAAGGUGAACGGUACCAUUGGAACUGAGACACGGACCAAACUCCUACGGGAGGAAGCAGUGGGGAAUAUUGCACAAUGGAGGGAACUCUGAUGCAGCGACGCCGCGUAAGCGAUGAAGAAAUUCGUUUCGUAAAGCUCUGUUCUAUGGGAAGACAAGGACUGUACCAUAGGAGAAAGCCCCGGCUAAAUACGUG